GAUGAACGCUGGCGGCGUGCCUAAUACAUGCAAGUCGAGCGAACAGACGAGGAGCUUGCUCCUCUGACGUUAGCGGCGGACGGGUGAGUAACACGUGGAUAACCUACCUAUAAGACUGGGAUAACUUCGGGAAACCGGAGCUAAUACCGGAUAAUAUAUUGAACCGCAUGGUUCAAUAGUGAAAGACGGUUUUGCUGUCACUUAUAGAUGGAUCCGCGCCGCCUUAGCUAGUUGGUAAGGUAACGGCUUACCAAGGCAACGAUGCGUAGCCGACCUGAGAGGGUGAUCGGCCACACUGGAACUGAGACACGGUCCAGACUCCUACGGGAGGCAGCAGUAGGGAAUCUUCCGCAAAGGGCGAAAGCCUGACGGAGCAACGCCGCGUGAGUGAUGAAGGUCUUCGGAUCGUAAAACUCUGUUAUUAGGGAAGAACAAAUGUGUAAGUAACUAUGCACGUCUUGACGGUACCUAAUCAGAAAGCCACGGCUAACUACGUG
rnacentral:rRNA from 1 species